AGUGAACGCUGGCGGCAGGCCUAACACAUGCAAGUCGAACGGCAGCACGGCAGUAGCAAUACUGUGGGUGGCGAGUGGCGGACGGGUGAGGAAUACAUCGGGAUCUACCCUGUUGUGGGGGAUAACGUAGGGAAACUUACGCUAAUACCGCAUAAGAACUGAGGUUGAAAGCGGCGGACCGCAAGGCGUCGCGCGAUUGGAUGAACCGAUGUCCGAUUAGCUAGUUGGCGGGGUAAAGGCCCACCAAGGCGACGAUCGGUAGCUGGUCUGAGAGGACGACCAGCCACACUGGAACUGAGACACGGUCCAGACUCCUACGGGAGGCAGCAGUGGGGAAUAUUGGACAAUGGGCGCAAGCCUGAUCCAGCCAUGCCGCGUGGGUGAAGAAGGCCUCGGUGUAAGACACUUAAGUACGAGGAGGAAGGUUUUAGGUUUAA
rnacentral:rRNA from 1 species